GAUGAACGCUGGCGGCGUGCCUAAUACAUGCAAGUCGAGCGAACAGACGAGGAGCUUGCUCCUCUGACGUUAGCGGCUGACGGGCGAGUAACACGUGGAUAACCUACCUAUAAGACUGGGAUAACUUCGGGAAACAGCAGCCACUACUGGCUAAUAUAUCGUACCGCAUGGUUCAAUAGUGAAAGACAGUUUUGCUGUCACUUUUAGAUGGAUCCGCGCCGCAUUAGCUAGUUGGUAAGGUAACGGCUUACCAAGGCAACGAUGCGUAGCCGACCUGAGAAGAUGAUCGGCCACACUGGAACUGAGACACGGUCCAGACUCCUACGGGAGGCAGCAGUAGGGAAUCUUCCGCAAUGGGCGAAAGCCUGACGGAGCAACGCCGCGUGAGUGAUGAAGGUCUUCGGAUCGUAAAGCUCUGUUGUUAGGGAAGAACAAAUGUGUAAGUAACUAUGCACGUCUUGACGGUACCUAAUCAGAAAGCCACGGCUAACUACGUG
rnacentral:rRNA from 1 species